ensembl:processed_transcript Gm15663 predicted gene 15663
AGCUGCUCCAGCCUGGUCCUCUGGCCCCACUCUCUUCUUCAUCUUCCUUCACCUUCUUUUUGACUCUGGAAAGCCUCCCCCAAAGCCCAGGACAAAGAUGACUUUUGGAAGAUUGCCCAAAACGAUAGCUAGAGUGCGCCCUGGGCUCUGGGAGAUGGAGGAGAGGCGACAGGAGGAGUCAAUGGUUUGCCCAGUGCUGCGGGGAGGCGCUUUGCACGCUCUAGAUCGCAAGCCAAGCGUCUAGUGCCAAGAGCUGUCAGGCAAAAGACUGGUCAGCUGGAGAGACUUCUCGGGACGUGGAGAGGUAGAACAGGUUUGCAGAGCGCUGGCAGCCUCGGUUGACACUAAGGAUCUAUUGCCCCGCGCGCGCGCGAUGCGUGAGCUGAAUUGGGAUGGAAGGGCCUGUUGAAGAGCCAGGGAAGCAGCGUUUAGGAGAGAGUUUUCCGAGGCCACGCCGUGACGGUCGACAUUAAUAUUAGUGGAAAGACGCAUGCCCCGCAGUAAGAUCAUGAGAAGGGAUCCAGGAAAUGAAAGAGGAGAGGCAAGAAGGUAAGAAACAAACACGCGUUCCUCAGAAAUUGCGUGGGGAUGGGUGUCUUUAGUGGUUCAGGACUGUCAAGCUGACUCUGAGACUAUAGAAGAGACCACGCUAAUGCAACCCUCUACAACGGCAUCCUUAAACCCAGCAGAGCGGAAAGCUAAUGCCCUUUCCUUUCCGCCCGGAUGCAAGACUGGAUGGAAGGCAUCCAACAUGAUGAAAUACGGUGCAGAAGAAUGGUCUGGGCAGAAGGAGCGCUGGGUACUAAAGUUGCAUGACCAAAGAGAUCCGAGAGCUGUCUGCCACACCCCCUUCCUGCCUGGUUCCCUUUCUGACUGCCCUGGUCGCUCCCUUGGACUAUGAUGAACACGACUGCAGCGCCCCCUGCUGUGGGGAAGCUACAGGGCACAGAAAACACGUCCUUGCAGGGCUGUCUUCCAACUUCCCCUUUUGCACCUAACCAGCAAGCUCUUCAAAGAUAAUAAGGAAAGUGGACUCCCUGGGUAUGUGGCAGCGAUCUGAAAAGUUUGAACGCCUGCAGAAUAAGGAUGUCUGACUUCACAAAGAAAUCGUUUGGAAACUGACAAAUAUUUUACAACUUCAAAAGUAUUUAAAACUUAGCCUGCAAAAUAAAAACAUCUUCAUAAAAGUUAUGAAGACCCCGUUCUAAAGUAUACAAGCUAAAGAACUGAUUAUGUACCACAAAAGCUGUGAAGCUGAGAUCUUAAUUUUCUUGGCACUGGGUUGCAGCCCUUGGGUUGAAGAGAGCAAACGGCUGCUGAGGGCCAUGGCCAUGCACAAGGAACAACAAAUGGUCUUAAAACUCAUGGAAUGUUGUCCACUGGUUACCACAGCCACGCUGGAUUUUCCUCUGUAGGGAAUGACCCCCGAGGAUCACGUGUCCUGAGGACUUCAUGCUGUAAUGGAGUUCUGCUCUGCUUGCUGCCCUCACAUCACUCUUAAUCUAAGAGAACUCUAAAGAGGCUUGCAGACUCUCACUGGGCAGUAUCUCUGGCACUCACAACAACAUUGCUUGAUUCCUUUCAGGCAUUGCUGCUGGAAGAGAUUCAACUGAUUCAACACCACCCUAGGAAAGAAUCUAGAGACAUAGAUUGUAAGUUAUGACUGCCGCCCUUGGAAAGCAUUUGGAAAAAUAAAAUUGUGAGUGAAGCUAGGUUAAGAUGCUUUUGCUACAGGCUCCCAGUGUAGAAAAUCUUAGGGAACAAUUUGAAGUUCAAAAAGGCACACUUUUAUUUGUUAAGCUAGGGACCUUUUAUGGUCAGGGAAUAAGAACAAUGGCAGCACUGGCUGACGAUUCACAAUGAGGCUGGGCUGAUGAUUUCUUUCUUUCUUCCUUUCUUUCUCUCUCUGUCUUUCUUUCUUUCUUUCUUCCUUUCUUUCUUCUUUCUUUCUUUCCUUCCUUCCUUCCUUCCUUCCUUCCUUCCUUCCUUCCUUCCUUCCUUCCUUCCUUCUUUCUUCCUUUCUUUCUUAAUUUCUUUCUUUCCAUUUAUUUAUUUAUUUAUUUAUUUAUUUAUUUAUUUAUUACUUAUUCACUUUAUAUCCUUCUCACUUCCCCCUUUCUGGUCACCCUCUCCCACAAUCCUUCCUCCAUCCUCCAUCUCCUUCUCUUCUAGGCAGGUGAGAGUCCCCUUGGCUAUCCCCCCACUCUGAUACUUCAAGUCUAUGCCAGGCUAGGUGCUUCCUUUCCCACCGAGGCCAGACAAAGUAACCCAGCUAGAAGACCAUAUCUCACAUAUAGGCAGCAGCUUUUGGGGUAGCUCCCAUUCCUAUUAUUCAGGAUCCACAUGAAGACCAAGCUGUCCAUCUGCUAUAUGUGAGCUGGAAGAGCUAGUUCCAGCCAGUGUAUGUUCUUUGGUUGGAAGCUGAGGCUCUUAGAGCCUCAAGGGUCCAGGUUAGUUGACUUUGUUGGUCUUCUUGUGGAGUUCGAUCCCCAUCAGGACCCACAGUCCUUCCUCCUAUUCUUCCAUGAGUCCCCAAGCUCCAUCCACAGUUUGACUUUGUGUGUCUAUAUCUAUCUGAGUCAGCUGCUGGGUGGAGCCUCUCAGAGGACAGCCAUGCUAGACUCCUGUCUGCAAGUAUAACAGAGUAUCAUUAAUAGUGUUAGGGAUUGGUACUUGCCCAUGGAAUGAAUCUCAAGUUGGGUCAGUUAUUGGUAGGCUAUUCCAAAAAUACCUUAUUUUGCUUUCACCUUUUCUGAUAUGAUUUAAUAAGAAUUGCUGGUGAGGAGAUAUGCAUUCUGAGGAUUUAAAGUAGGUCUGAAUGAUUUUUCUAUAAAAACUGAGAUUUCUAUUUCUUUUAAGAUUCUUAUUAGAAAAUAUUUGAUCUUUUCUUUGUAACCGCAAAUCACUGCCUGCCAGUAAGAGAAACUGGCUGAGAAAACUGUCUUGCUUACUUACACUUUGUUAAUCUAUAGCAAGUUGCUUAGUUACAAAUGUAUGUAGGUUCUUAGGAAUAAUUUUUUUUUACCUGUGCUACCUAACGUUAUUUCUUGUAAAGGUAUUGGGGAACACACUGUUUCUUCAUAGUCAUUUCCUGGAAGAAAACUAGAUCAUAAUCACACUGUAAUUUUAUACUGCUUGAAAGAUUUUGCUGGGAUAUAUAUGCCAUACAAUAAGGAAUAAAGUUGUUGGAACAUUGUUCCUUCCAUCCAUCAA